CAGGGUUCUGUGGAGAGAAUGUGACUGGAAGACCAGAUGAAGCAUGGUCAGGGUUAAGGAGUCUUUUCUAUUUUCUCCUCAGGUCCUAGGUUCUGGUAUGAAGAGAAAAGAGACACUCAAGGAAUGUAAAAACUGCAGAUACCAGGUUAUCUUCUCAAACCAAAGCGACUUCAUCUUAAAGUGUAUCAUUGGCAGGAGCACUGCUUCUAUGCUUCCCCUAAAGAAAGUCCUCAUCAUGUAACUCCUCCUGCUUUUAUGGAGAUAAUCUUCUCUGACCCUAUGUUAAGAUCUUUCCUAUGCCCUGGAAAUUGUGACUCAAAUAAAGAUG